GACGAACGCUGGCAGCGUGCUUAACACAUGCAAGUCGAGCGGUAAGGCCCUUUCGGGGGUACGACGAGCGGCGAACGGGUGAGUAACACGUGGGUGACCUGCCCUUAGCUCUGGGAUAAGCCUGGGAAACUGGGUCUAAUACCGGAUAUGACUCCAUGACGCAUGUUGUGGGGUGGAAAGCCUUGUGCGGCUAGGGAUGGGCCCGCGGCCUAUCAGCUUGUUGGUGGGGUGAUGGCCUACCAAGGCGACGACGGGUAGCCGGCCUGAGA
rnacentral:rRNA from 1 species